AGGGUUAUGUCGUAUCCUCGAAGCUUUAAUAAGUUCCAGUAACAAUGGUAUUUCUGAAUGUCGAGUGAGACGAGUCAUUGUGAAGAAGCUCUGUGUCAAGCUUCGAUUCGUCGUUUCGUCUUUGGUUCUUAUUCUCCGAGACGUUACGAGAUUUCUUGAUUCAUCGCCUUUAAGAAACUUCUUAACUCCCUCAAGCACGAUGUCUCAUCAAAUGCUCUCUUAGAGGCGGUGUAUCUCCACCUACAAAAUGGUCAGCCUUCGUACCCUGAACAUCAUCGUCACACUUCCUAACAGUAGAAACUUCUUUAUGGCAAGGAGACUCCAACUUCGUUGACUCAUACAACUUCCAAUUCAAAGAGAGAUUGUUGGACCCAAGAGAAGCAAGCAGGAUCAAGCUGGAAGAAAUAAAAACUUAAUGGAGACGUGUAUAUGAGAUAUCACGGUGUUGAAGGUGAUUCUUAGAUGCAUCAACGUGGUUAGCUCCUACACGAUUGGGAGAUUAAUCCAAGUUCAUAUUGAUACAGUAUGUUGUUAUACGCUGGUGAUACAGUAUGUUGUUAUACGCUGGUAAAGGACAUCUGAAGUACUUCUACAAUCCUAUGUAUACACAUAAAAAGUUGUGGCUCUUCCCUGAGAUCCAUGCAACAGACCGACUGCUGCAGAGGCUCUGUACAUCCCGUUCUUUCAGUGGAUUUAUACAGAUUCAACCCCAAGUGUGGCCCGAGAUAUUCCCCCUGAAACGAGGAUACUAAUGGGAUAUGGUGUUGUAGUCGGAUUUUCGGAAUACUUUAAGUUGAGUAGCGGUAUGAACUAGA